CAGUCGCCGCGGUAAUACGUAGGUGGCAAGCGUUGUCCGGAAUUAUUGGGCGUAAAGGGCUCGCAGGCGGUCUCUUAAGUCUGAUGUGAAAGCCCCCGGCUCAACCGGGGAGGGUCAUUGGAAACUGGGAAACUUGAGUGCAGAAGAGGAGAGUGGAAUUCCACGUGUAGCGGUGAAAUGCGUAGAGAUGUGGAGGAACACCAGUGGCGAAGGCGACUCUCUGGUCUGUAACUGACGCUGGGGAGCGAAAGCGUGGGGAGCGAACAGGAUUAGAUACCCCCGUAGUCCCUGUCUCUUAUAC
rnacentral:rRNA from 1 species